rnacentral:rRNA from 1 species
UACAGAGGGUGCGAGCGUUGUCCGGAAUCACUGGGCGUAAAGGGCGCGUAGGCGGCCUGGUAAGUAGGAGGUGAAAUUCUGCGGCUUAACCGCAGAGCUGCCUUCUAAACUGUCAGGCUUGAGCACGGUAGAGGCUGGUGGAAUUCCCGGUGUAGCGGUGGAAUGCGUAGAGAUCGGGAAGAACAUCGGUGGCGAAGGCGGCCAGCUGGGCCGUUGCUGACGCUGAGGCGCGAAAGCGUGGGGAGCAAACAGG